rnacentral:rRNA from 1 species
CCUACGGGGGGCAGCAGUGGGGAAUAUUGCACAAUGGGGGAAACCCUGAUGCAGCGACGCCGCGUGAGUGAAGAAGUAAUUCGUUAUGUAAAGCUCUAUCAGCAGGGAAGAAAAUGACGGUACCUGAGUAAGAAGCCCCGACUAACUACGUGCCAGCAGCCGCGGUAAUACGUAGGGGGCAAGCGUUAUCCGGAUUUACUGGGUGGAAAGGGAGCGUAGACGGCAGUGCAAGUCUGGAGUGAAAGGCGGGGGCUCAACCCCCGGACUGCUCUGGAAACUGUACGGCUGGAGUGCAGGAGAGGUAAGUGGAAUUCGUAGUGUAGCGGUGAAAUGCGUAGAUAUUAGGAGGAACACCAGUGGCGAAGGCGGCUUACUGGACUGUAACUGACGUUGAGGCUCGAAAGCGUGGGGAGCAAACAGGAUUAGAUACCCUAGUAGUC